GCCGACGUGGCGGAAUUGGUAGACGCGCACGCUUCAGGAGCGUGUGAUCGCAAGGUCAUGGGAGUUCGAUUCUCCCCGUCGGCA
rnacentral:tRNA from 1 species